AUGGAUUUGUUUCUAGGGCUCCUCUCCCUCCUUUGCUGCUGCUGCUUCUUCUUCUUCUAUUACCGUCACCUCCAGUCCAAGAAAGCAUGCAAGGCCGAGCCGACCGAAUGGCCGUUGCUCGGCCAUCUCUUGGGCAUGCUCGCCAACCUGUCCUGCUACCACGACUGGGCCACCGUCGUCCUCGCCGCCAGGCGCUACAACUUCCCGGCUCAGACGGGGCUCACCGGCGUCCGCUUCUUCAUCACCUGCGACCCCUCCAACGUGCGCCACAUCUUCACCUCUAACUUCCUGAACUACCCCAAGGGCGAGGAGUAUGCCGAGAUCUUCGACGUCUUGGGCCACGGCAUCUUCAACGCCGACGGCGAGUCCUGGCGGUGGCAGCGUGCCAAGUCCCAGCUCCUCAUGGCUGGCCCUCGUUUCCGCGCCUUCUCGGCACGGUGCACCCGCGACAAGGUGGACACGAGCCUCCUCCCUUUCCUUGCGCAUGUUGCCGACGCCGGCGAUCGCUGUGACCUGCACGACGUGCUCCUGAGGAUGACGUUCGACAUGACCUGCAACCUCGUCUUCGGGGUCGACCCCGGAUGCCUCCAGAUCGGCCUCCCCGUAGUGCCCUUCGCGCGCGCCAUGGACGACGUGCUCGACACCAUCUUCUUCCGGCACGUCUUCCCGCCGGCGUUGUGGAGGCUCAUGUACCGCUACGAGGUCGGCCCAGAGAAGAAGAUGGCCGUGGCCCGUAGGACCAUCGAUCGCUUCGCCGCCGACACCAUCGCGAAACGCAGGUCGUCCGAUGACCACAACCACAACGAGUCCUCCUCCGACGACAUGCUCUCCUCCUUCCUCUGCGGCAACGAUGACGCGAGCGACGAGUUCUUGCGUGACACCGCGGUGAACCUCCUUCUCGCCGGACGGGACACCACCGGCACGGCGCUGUCGUGGUUCUUCUACGUCGUAUGCAAGAACCCGCGCGUCCAGCAGAAGAUCCUGGACGAGCUGGCGCCGAUCGCUGCCACCAAGAAGCCGGAAGACAUGGUGUUCGAUGCUGGCGAUCUGAGCAGCUUGGUGUACCUGCACGCGGCGCUCUGCGAGUGCAUGAGGCUUUACCCGCCGGUGCCCUUCCAGCACAAGGCGGCGAUAGCCGAUGACGUGCUCCCGAGCGGUCACGAAAUGAAGGCCGGCGACAAGAUACUCCUCUACUCCUACUCCAUGGGGAGGAUGGAGGGAGUGUGGGGCAAGGACUGCAUGGAGUUCAGGCCAGAGAGGUGGAUCACCGACGACGGGAAGCUGAGGUACGAGCCGUCCUACAAGUUCAUCGCCUUCAACACCGGCCCCAGGACCUGCCUCGGCAAGGAGGUGGCCUUCACGCAGAUGAAGGCCGUCGCCGCAGCCGUGCUGUGGAACUUCGUCGUCGAGGCCGUGCCGGGGCACGUCGUGGAACCCAAGUUGUCCGUCAUACUCCACAUGAAGAACGGGCUCGCCGUGACGGUCAAGAGGAGGAACGUCGCCACGCGUGCAUGCUACCACAGAGUAAAUACUGCUGCUUGUGUUCGUGCAAGCGUCCAUGGUGUCCAUUAGCUUUGUUUUUCCAUUCUUCUACUUUUAUUUUUUUGGUUUUGUGUUUUCUCUCGAAGUUUCUACUUAGGUCUUGAUAUAUUACUCCGUGCAUUCUUAAAAGUAAGCCGUAUUUUGUUUGGUUAAGACAUGCAUAUCAUCAAUAAUUAC